rnacentral:lncRNA from 1 species
GCCAAGAGCGACCCUUUCACGUCUCCAACUCCUCAUACAUAUAGAGAACAUAUGAACAGCUGCUAUUAGGGUUAGAGAACCUUUAAUUUCGUCCAUGGGCUCGCCGUUGUGGUCUGGGCCUUGAAAUUGAAGUUCCGGUCCAAAUCAGAAAUUCGGGCAGACUGACCUUUGGUCAUUCAAACGGUCAUAACUUGGUCACCAAAAUAGCUAUUGACGAUCUGCGAAAAGUUCUUAAAACUAGACUCUUCUAGCUUUCUGCUGAUAUAAAGUUCAUCUCCUGGAUCGUUGUGAGCUGAUCACAAUUCUCUGUCGAAGUUGACUGACUAUUCCUGGCAGAUUUUAGAUUUCUUUCCUUGCGCCAUAUGGAUUCCUUUUCCUUCAAGAUUUCUCCUCUUUUGCCUCUUUUGUGCUCCUCGGCUUUAUUUGUGACCUAAAAACACAAACUAAGUUAAAAUCAAUAUUGUUAAAGGAAUUACAUAACUAAAUAGGGUCGAAAAUACAUUAAGAACGUUGCAUAGAAUGCACCUAUCAAAUUUGGGCUUCAAUUUGGGAAUUAGGGAUGGAUCUCUAGUUUCUUCUAUUUGAAUAUGGAAUUGGAUUUUAAGAGAGUUGUUAUUCUACAAUUCAAAUGUUCUGUUCUUGUUUGAUUACUUUUUCGAGUUUUUGGAAAGUGUUUAUGCUUAAGCUUUAAUCUUCCACUACUACAAAAACGUUAUCAGACAACACUCAUCAGACAACCUUUUAGGGUUCCCUACUUGUCUGAUGAAGUGAACUGUUAUAUACAACGCAAAGUUACAAAGUUUUGUUGUCUGAUGAUACGAAAUUGUCAGGUUAUAUUUCAAGAGUUCAAAACACAACAAUGAUGCUAAUUUUCUCUUCUAUGAUUUAUGAAAAUUUUGGCGGAAGGAUUCCCCCCAUCACCAAAUUGAAAGUCGUGCAAGAUGCAAAAUGUUUGGACAAUAGACUUUUAUUUCUUUGUUGUAUGAUGUUGUUACAAUUGCAAGUUUAGAAAAUAUAUACAACAGUUUAAAACAUUCUGUUGUGUGACUGGAAAAUCUGGCGGCAUGCCAAAGUCGUUUUGGCUCUAAAAUUUCGGCCAUCAGACCAUGUUUAUAGUUGUUACAUUGUGUGAUUAUCUAUCGAAAUGAAUGCCAACUUUUGGCGUGUGUCCGAAACAUCAAUGUGCCAACCCUUUCCCUCCUAUAUUUCAGCCCAAAUUAAAUUCUCCCCCCAACAUUUAAAAAAAAGCAUAACUACGACUCAACCAAAACCUAUAGCUCAACCAAAUUAUCCCUCUCUCGACAUCACACUCUCUCAACCAUUCAAGCCACACAUAACAUUCUUGUUCAUUCCCUCGUGCCUCUGAGCUCUCUCUAUAUCCCAAAAACACCUAGCUAGCUCUCUCUCUAAACACCCAGCCUCUCUCUCCCAGCAAACUCUCGAGCCCUCAGCUAUCUCUCCCUAACACCCGCGUGAGCCCCCACUUCUCUCUCACUCAGCCCUCGACCAUAACAUUCUCAGCCAUCUCCCCCAAUUUCAAAAACCNNNNNNN